rnacentral:rRNA from 1 species
CAGCAGCCGCGGGAAUACGAAGGGGGCUAGCGUUGUUCGGAAUUACUGGGCGUAAAGCGCACGUAGGCGGAUUUUUAAGUCAGGGGUGAAAUCCCGAGGCCCAACCUCGGAACUGCCCUUGAUACUGGAGAUCUUGAGUUCGGAAGAGGUUGGUGGAACAGCUAGUGUAGAGGUGAAAUUCGUAGAUAUUAGCUAGAACACCAGUGGCGAAGGCGGCCAACUGGUCCGAUACUGACGCUGAGGUGCGAAAGCGUGGGGAGCAAACAGGAUUAGAUACCCCAGUAGUCCCUGUCUCUUAUAC